AAUAAUCCAGGGGUCAGAAAGUCUUGAU
rnacentral:piRNA from 1 species